CCUACGGGAGGCAGCAGUAAGGAAUAUUGGACAAUGGAGGCAACUCUGAUGCAGCAGCGCCGCGUGCGCGAUGAAGGCCUUCGGGUCGUAAAGCACUUUUAUGAGGGAAGAGCAAGGACUGUACCUCAUGAAUAAGGAUCGGCUAACUACGUGCCAGCAGCCGCGGUAAU
rnacentral:rRNA from 1 species